AGUGAACGCUGGCGGUAGGCCUAACACAUGCAAGUCGAACGGCAGCACCGUAAGAGCUUGCUCUUACGGGUGGCGGGUCGCGGACGGGUGAGGAAUACAUCGGAAUCUACUUUUUCGUGGAGGAUAACGUAGGGAAACUUACGCCAAUACCGCAUCCGACCUACGGGUGAAAGCAGGGGAUCUUCGGACCUUGCGGGAGUGAAUGGGCCGGCGUCGGAUUAGCUAGUUGGCGGGGUAGAGGCCCACCAAGGCGACGAUGGGUAGCCGGACUGAGAGGAUGAGCGGCACACUUGGGACUGAGAUAAGGCCCGGACUCCUACGGGAGGCAGCAGUGGGGAAUAUUGCACAAUGGGCGGAAGCCUGAUGCAGCAACGCCGCGUGCGGGAUGACGGCCUUCGGGUUGUAAACCGCUUUCGCCUGUGACGAAGCGUGAGUGACGGUAAUGGGUAAAGAAGCACCGGCUAACUACGUG
rnacentral:rRNA from 1 species